AUGGAGAGUGAGGUGCUAACCCAGCAAGGGUGCCCUUUGCUGCUCAGUCAGCUGGACUCGGUGAAGAGAGGAGCAAGUAGCCCUGUCCCGACAUUGCCCCUGAUUUGCUCUUCUUGUAAAAAAAUCCCAUCUUCGGAUGGCAUCCAUCCCAGUGAGGAUGCUGCCUUCUUCUUGAUGGGAUCACGGCCCCUGGCCCUGCAUGGUGGCCCAGAUCCUCUCCUUUUUAGCUCCAGCCCUGAUUUUCAUCUUUUAGAGUGGCCCUCCUAUCCCUGUCCUUACAAGGUCCUGGGCAGUGGUGACAGUCCUUUCCAGAGCAUGCUUUUUCCUGGGCCUUCCUUGGGAUUUGAGCCAGUGUCAGCUGCUCCGUCAGCCGCCUGCCACAUCUCCAUCAAGAUCCUGAUAACCAAGCAGGGUGGAUGCCGUCCCAGAGCUGCUGUACCAGCUAAUCCUCCUUUGUUGCAACUCUGUGUACCAAGAACUCUUAGAGUCCUUCCUAAGUGCGUACCUCCUGCUGGGGGCCGGUCUCACCUUCGUCUGGUGCCAACGCAUGUGGCAUUACCUCCGGAUCCUCCCUGGACUGCAGCUGCCAGCAAAGCACCUUAGCCUGGGGCCUGUGGGAUGACUGAGGUUCACACAUCUGGGCCUGCCUACCUCCAUCCUUUGUAGGCUGAUCACUGUAUGUUUUGGUCUUGAAACGGGGGCACGAACUGGGUGACAGGGUCAAGAGCCACCUUUGACAGACCCUUUCCCCACGCGUGCCUCCUCGUCACACCAUUUUGCAUCCAGGCAGGGUCAGGGCCUAGUAACUCCUCCAACGUCUCUCGCUGGCCUGGGAGACGGGCUAAGGCACGUCUGUGAAUAAAAGAGCUUUUGUCCAACCCCAGUGCCUGUGUUGGGUCCCCCAAAGACAGAUGGUACCUGGGAUGGAGAAGAAGGAGGCGGGGAAGGUAGAGGAGCGGGAAGCCGGCGUCCAGGGAACCUGCCGAGCCGGGACAGAGGCUUCGGCUUCCCAGAACACUGUGCUCAUGACUUUGUCAGUGUUCUAACAUUUCCCUGGAGACUGAUUCCUCUGGUGCCCAAAAUAGGUCCCUGGCAUCCAGGUCCUUUCUGUCCAGUCCAGCUUCUCUCGAUUUCCUAACAAAUUUAAAGUCCUUGGAGUGGCUCCAGGGAUGGGUUCAUGGACCAGAACCCACACGCUUUCGGAGCAUGCACACAAGGUCCUUCUAGGCUCUGGCGCACCUGUCAGCUCCAGCCUCCUGGGCUUCUUUUUCUAGGGGAUAUAAGAAAAGUCUGGGCGAGAACAAAAAUGGACCAGAAGUGUUGGGCCAGAGCCCCUCUCUUUAUCUCUGGUGCCUUUCUUCUGAGUCAUGGGGUUCAGAGGAAGAAGGCCAAGGUCACUGGCUAAGCCUGGGAGGCAGAAACCUUCACCGACAGGCUGGAGGUCUGGCAAGAUCUUUCUUCCCACCCUGCG
rnacentral:lncRNA from 1 species